UACGUAGGGUGCGAGCGUUGUCCGGAAUUACUGGGCGUAAAGAGCUCGUAGGUGGUUUGUCGCGUUGUCCGUGAAAACUCACAGCUCAACUGUGGGCGUGCGGGCGAUACGGGCAGACUGGAGUACUGCAGGGGAGACUGGAAUUCCUGGUGUAGCGGUGGAAUGCGCAGAUAUCAGGAGGAACACCGGUGGCGAAGGCGGGUCUCUGGGCAUUAACUGACGCUGAGGAGCGAAAGCAUGGGGAGCGAACAGG
rnacentral:rRNA from 1 species